rnacentral:rRNA from 1 species
GAUGAACGCUGGCGGCGUGCCUAAUACAUGCAAGUCGAGCGAACGGACGAGAAGCUUGCUUCUCUGAUGUUAGCGGCGGACGGGUGAGUAACACGUGGAUAACCUACCUAUAAGACUGGGAUAACUUCGGGAAACCGGAGCUAAUACCGGAUAAUAUUUUGAACCGCAUGGUUCAAAAGUGAAAGACGGUCUUGCUGUCACUUAUAGAUGGAUCCGCGCUGCAUUAGCUAGUUGGUAAGGUAACGGCUUACCAAGGCAACGAUGCAUAGCCGACCUGAGAGGGGGAUAGGCCACACUGGAACUGAGACACGGUCAAGACUCCUACGGGAGGCAGAAGUAGGGAAUCUUCCGCAGUGGGCGAAAGCAUGACGGAGCAACGCCGCGUGAGUGAUGAAGGUCUUCGGAUCGUAAAACUCUGUUAUUAGGGAAGAACAUAUGUGUAAGUAACUGUGCACAUCUUGACGGUACCUAAUAAGAAAGCCACGGCUAACUACGUG